UUGAUCAUCCCCGGAGCUUGCAGGCUGUGAGUCAGGGGGUGUAGGGGAGCUGUAGGGCAGGGGAACUUAAGCGCCAUUAGGCACAAGUGAGUGCACAAUCGUUGAUGUGAACAGAUUAUUGUGGUUGGUCAAGCCUUAAAGAACACUGAUCGCACUGAUUAUCUUUUCAACAGGAACACUCAAAGUGCACUGACACUGGCAAAACAUUUAAGAGAUGUCCAGGAUGAAGUGCAACUGGAGAGGGUUCCUCUCACCACCACGGAUCAAUGUGCCGCGGCCUACCAGGAUUGCUGCCUCUUGGGAACAAACUUUAUGGACCAGCUUGACGUCAACUUUGAUUACUUCAUUUCUGAAGAAUUCCAGAUGUUUGAGUCUUCACUCGAGGGGAUUGUCGGUACCUGAACUGACAGCAUUUGGAGCCGUGUGCUGUCGAAAGGCUGCUGAAGUACAGUUGGUGGAACUCGUUACCCGUGUCAAGCUGUGCUAUGACUUGAGGUGCUUCUGAAAGACUUAUUGCCCUCAUCACUGCAAGGUUUCACCAACGUAUCCUGCAGCUGAAAUCCAUAAAGAGCAAAGCCCAGGGGCAAGAUGUGGGUAUCAAGACCUCAACAACGCAAUGGCAUAUCGUGGGGCAACCAUGGCCAGAUGAGGUUACGAUCUGAAAGCUAUCUGGAAAUAUAGCAUGUGACAGUACAGAGGUUAUGCAUGUAUUGUAGCCUAAAAGUGUCUUAAUCUAAAGGUCAUUAUUGAGAGACAAGACAUUACACCACUAGACCUUACAAAUAUCCUUGCCAUUGAUAUAUUAAUUCUUUUAUUUGUCUUUUUCUUUUCAUUUACUUUAUAAAAUGUUUCUUAAUUAUUUUCAACACAAGCACCAAAUUUUGAUUUUAGGAAAAAGAAAAUACAAGAAACCCAAAUGCAGUGGUGAACAGAACUCAUUUCAAAACUAAAGAAAAUAUGUAUUUAGCAAUUAGCUGCUAAAUUUUUCCUAAAGUUACUAGGCAGGAAGUGUACAGUUGGUGUUUAGAGUUUAUUUGCAUCUACUGAUGCUGAAAAUGACGCCAUGAGAGCAGUGAGAGUGAAUCAAAACAAUAAAGCUGUGGGCUGUUGAACCAAAACACUUAUCUGAAAGACACCACAGAGCACAGUGAAGCUGAAGGAAAAGCAGAGUUGGUUGAUUAUUCAGUGUAGAUUCUUCACUACGAAUAGCUCCUUUCAUAAACAAGUCAACCAUUGUUGAUAUGAAAAUAUUGACUAUAGCUGCUUUUAAAAAAAAUAGCAUAACACCACAUUCAUGCCUGAUGAAAUGAAAAAGCGUUUCUCUAUCUGUGGUUUAAAAAUAUUUGUUUGAGUGAGUUCUGUUUAUUGACAUAUUAAAUUUGAACAGUUGAACAGAUAACCAGAUGCCAGAGAAUUUAGAUUUUAUGUGGCCAAAUAACAAAAAGUGAAGGGUGUCCUCAAAUUUGACCUUAAAACAAUAUGGGCUGAAUUGGUUCAAUCAAUGUAAAUGUCUUUGAUGAACUUUUACUGACAUUUAAUGCUGCAAAAAAGCAGAAAAGCAUUGGAAUACAAUGACAAUGGUCAUUUCACUGAUUUUCAGUGCUUCCAAAACAUAUUUAUAAAUACAAGUGCACAGACACACACAUACAUUUGUCCUGAAUUAAGACCCUGAAUUUACGAGUACUGAGUAUAGAGCAAAUCCAAUUUUAAUCAGAUUUGACGAUGAGUCGUGAUAAGGAACUGAGUCAUCAGCUGCAGCGUAGACAGUGAGGGAAGACGGAGACAACUGAGGGUUAAGCUGCAAACCUCUUCUGACAAACCUUGUCUGAGAAAGCUUUAGUGGACACAAUGACAAGUGAAAUAUGGGGUCAACUAUCAGUCAUUCAUCAAUGAACCCAUCCUGUCAUCAUUUGAAUUUUGAGCACUAGGCAAUAUUAACCUUCAUAACCCCAAGUCGCAUAGGACAGCUUGGCAAUGCCUAAGACUGACAGGCACAGUAUCAAAGUAACUGUUGGGUGUCACUGUAAUAAAUGCUUUCAGUCACAUAAAGCCAGGGAUGAAAUGGUACCAGCAUGAUGAUAGGCAUUUGAAGAGCUCUUCAUGAAAGUCUUAUCCAAGCUGCUUUACACUUAGGGUCUGGCAACUAUACAUGGACUCUACAAACAUAAAAUUUAAGUACUGGUUUUUGUGAGGAUUUUUUUUUUUUUAAAUUACCCACUUUUAUGUCAUGCACUGCAUGUCCUCUCUGCUCUAAUAGAUGGUUCUGCCAAAUAAAGCUGCCAAGGGCCUUGCUUAAGCUCAAGGAUAUUUAAUCUAAUUGGUGUGAUCCAUAUGAGUAGACAGAACAAUGUGGCCUCAAUGUAUAGAAGGAACUUCUGUGACCUCUGCUGACCUAAAAGUUCACUGGCCUCAAGUAAGUCUGAGAUAAAGUUACAUCCAGUGGGACCUGGGUGAUAUCCACUUACUGCUAUCGCCUUUGGGAAAUUACUGUGGUUGACACAAGGAACUGUGACUUCUAACACUAUACAAUAUUAACAAAGAUACAUGAUCAGCAGGCUCUGAAUGUAAAUGAUAGCUUGAUCAUGUUUGCUAUCUUUGUAAAAUAAUAACUGGAGAUAAGUAUCAAUGUGCUGAAGUAUAAAAUGGCUGCUCUCCUUUCCUGCAUUUAGCUGGAUUAUAUUCUCUGUUUGUAAAUUACUCCCUUUGGAGAGAGAAAUUAACCUAGAUUUCCAUAUCAAAGCAUUAUGAAUUGAGCCAUUUUCCCUGCCCUCCCGUUCUGGUGAAAAGAGAGAGUGGAGGGAGUCUGUAGAAGUAGCCUGCAGUGAUAUGCAGGCCAUACAGGGCUCCUUUCUUACAGGAGCAACACUGCAACAGAGAGAAUCAGCAGCUUUCUACUGAAGCGAAGAAUGAGAUCACUGGGCUUUUUGUGCAAGGUCAACUUCGAGGCAAGACACAUCGUGCUUAAAAUUCAGUCCUAUCCUCGCCGAGCACUUGAAACACACUGUGCCAGCCGGGGAACCUGCUUGCCAUUAUGCAAAGAGGCGGCGGGCUUAAAGUAAAUACGUAAUCUUAAUGAAUGCUGAGAUCUGUGGAGGUGGGAGUGAGGGGAGUCCAAGUCAAGUAGCGAAGGGUCAGAAACGCAGGGUGAAUAAUCCUGUGUGUCAACAAGACACAACUAGCUCUCUCUAUCCCAAUAUGUAGCCCUGUUUACAGUGAGCAUUAUUCAGAAGUUUUCUGACAUCUAACGUUGCUUUAUUGCAAAAUAAGCAAGAGACUCCAGAAAUAAUCUCAAAAUUUACUGCUUUUUCAUGUAAGAAAAUGCAGUUGCCUACCUGGUCUUAGAAUGUGAACAAAUAAGACCUCAUUCUAAUUACUGAUGGAGAUAAGAGUGGUUUAUGAUAAAUCAACAGAUGUUAAUGGAUACUAAUAAGGAAGGGUAAUUAUGUUUCUAUCUGCUAACAGUGUGGUAAUUCACUUAGAAUUUUAGAUGUUUAAUCAUUAUGAUCACUUGUGCCAUUAAAGAACCUGCUUGCUUUUGCUUAUUUGUCUUGUAUGUUGUGACCUAUGUCGCUGGCCCCAACUUAUCUCAGAUGCAUAAAUUUAAAACAAAAGGACAGCCAUUAGAUGACAUGUCACACAAUAUAGGGGUCUUGUUCUGGCCCCGUGCCUGCUGGCUGUGUCCUUAA